AAGAAGCCCUCACCCCGUGCGCAGGCCCCGCCAGCGGAAGCCCCCGUGCCGGCACCAUGUCAAAGAAAAAAGGAUUGAGUGCAGAAGAAAAGAGAACUUGCAAGAUGGAAAUAGUUUUUGAAACAAAAGAUGUAUUUCAAUUAAAAGACUUGGAGAAGAUUGCUCCCAAAGAGAAAGGCGUUACUUCUAUAUCAGUAAAAGAAGUCCUUCAAAGCUUAGCUGAUGGUGGUAUGGUUGACUGUGAGAGGAUCAGAGCUUCUAAUUAUUAUUGGGCUUUUCCAAGUAAAGCUCUUCAUGCAAGGAAACAUAAGUUGGAGGCUCCGGAAUCUCAGUUGUCUGAGGGAAGCCAAAAGCGUGCAAGCCUACAGAAAUGCAUUGAAAAAGCUAAAAUUGGCCAAUGUGAAACGGAAGAGCAAACCACGCUAGCAAAAGAACUUUCUUCACUUCGAGACCAAAGGGAACAGCUAAAGGCAGAAGUAGAAAAAUACAAAGAUUGUGACCCACAAGUCGUGGCAGAAAUACGCCAAGCGAACAAAAUAGCCCAAGAAGCUGCUAACAGAUGGACUGAUAACAUAUUUGCAAUAAAAUCUUGGGCCAAAAGAAAAUUUGGGUUUGAAGAAAAUAAAAUUAAUAAAACUUUUGGAAUUCCAGAAGACUUUGACUACAUAGACUAAAAUAUUCCAUGGCGGUGAAGGAUGUAAAUUUUAAACUAUUAUCUAAAUAAGUGUACUGAAUGGUCAUUUGCCUGCAACUAUAUGUAUCCUUUUGUUAAUGUUAAAUAACGUGUAAAAUGCAAAAAAAAAAAAAAAAAAAAAAAAAGAAGUUGGUGUCUGUGAUGAAUGGUCCUCAUCAGGCACCAAACCUCCUGGUGCUUGAUUUUGGCCUUCCCAGCCUCCAGAAU